rnacentral:rRNA from 1 species
UACGGGGGGGGGCAAGCGUUGUUCGGAAUUACUGGGCGUAAAGGGCUCGUAGGUGGCCAACUAAGUCAUACGUGAAAUCCCUCGGCUUAACCGGGGAACUGCGUCUGAUACUGGAUGGCUUGAGGUUGGGAGAGGGAUGCGGAAUUCCAGGUGUAGCGGUGAAAUGCGUAGAUAUCUGGAGGAACACCGGUGGCGAAGGCGACAUCCUGGACCGGCAUUGACGCUGAGGCGCGAAAGCCAGGGGAGCAAACGGG